AGUGCCUAAAUAAACAUAUGGCAUAAUUAAGAAAUAUAAUGCUAAAAUAUUAAAUUAGUUCUGCUAGUCGUUAUAUUUGGAAAGGGAUUCACUUAAUUUCUGGAUGAAACAUAUACUAGGAAACUGUGAAUUAAUAAGACUUUAAAUGCUUGGAAGAAAUAAGAAGUUUGGACUGCCUGGAAAAAGAUGCCCCUUCGAAUGACUAAUGACAAAUUGUCUAGAACCAAAAAAAACUUAAUUUUUUUCAAAACCUAAUGACUUAUCUUAAAAAAACUAAAUUUUGCACUUAUUUGCGAUGAAAAAUGGCAAAACUACUGCAAUUUUCAUAGCGAUAAACGACUUAAAAAUAAACCAGCUCUAAUUCUCUUCUGGUUAGCUGAACCUUGAAACAAAUUAUGAUCAACCCAAAGAGGAAGGUACCAUUAUCCUCGAAGGAACCAGAGUAAAUUUAAAAAAUGCAGAUCAAUCAUAGGCUAACGGUAAUAGCUGCAUUGUAAUGAUAUUCACAACUAUGAGACAAGGUUUAGAAGUAAUGUAUUAACUACCUAACUAAGAGUCAAUAACUAUUAGGCUGCGCUCUUUAAAUAAUUACGCAAAUCACAAUUUUUAGUAUUAAAAUAUAUUGAUUUUCUUGCUAGGUGAGUAUUACUUUUAAUUAUUUUACUUGUCACUUUAUUUUCAGUUCAUUUGAUAUGAGUUAAGGAGUAGAUCUUUUGGUUUGCAGUGCCAAUCAUGGUGUCAAAGGCUCUUGACAAGGUAAAUUAUACUCUAGCAAUCUUUUGCCCCUUAUCAAUAUAAUUUACAAUAUGGUAAGUCAAUUGCUUGUUUUGGAAUAAAGCCCUACUGUUGAGGUACUAAGAAAUCAUUUGAUUUUAUGAAUGUAACAGAGAUUCGGCUAUAGGAUGAUCUUAGAGAAUACAAUCCUUAUCUUUUGUUUAAUAUAGGUUAAAAACUACCACCGUUACAUUGAGCACACUGAGUGGGGUCAUAAUAAGAAGGUUCAGAUUUUCAGCGGGUUGUAGCCUAUACGACUGCAUACCAUAGGAAGGACUAAUGAUAAAUGCAGAUCCAGCUACGGCCAACUUUCUUUUUAGUUCGCUUUGUUAAUAACUGGCAAGACUACAUACAACCUUAGUAACAAAAAAAAAAGGAUUAUAAGUGAAAGCCCGAUAAAGCACUUAGAAAAGGCUUCAAAGGAAAUCAAGGCUAUAUAUAGCUAGCUCAUUGCUUAGUUUUAAUGUUUGUCCUGUAAAAGGUGCCUGGAAAGUUGAUAUGAAUGUGUACUACAUAUUGUGAGAUGGUACAUGAAGAGUGAGAUAUGGACAUAAUUAUUUUCUUAUAAAGAAUUUUUAAGUCUUAAGUUUGUUUUGUUUAAAUAAAGUAAAAUACUUAUUAUUA